AUCGAUAAGCCAUUGGAGGGCAAGUCUGGUGCCAGCAGCCGCGGUAAUUCCAGCUCCAAUAGCGUAUAUUAACGUUGUUGCAGUUAAAAAGCUCGUAGUUGAAGUGUGGGUGAUCGCUGUUGUGAGACUUCGGUCUCUCGAUAGUAAGUCACCCCCUUCCAGUAUCCAGUAGUGGGUAUUCACUUACUUACUACUGUGUGUUGGUCAUUUACUGUGAGAAAAUUAGAGUGUUCAAAGCAGGCGUUUGCUUGAAUAGAUUAGCAUGGAAUAAUAAUUGAAGGCUUUCGUGUUCGAUUUGAUUGGUUUGUUCAUGGAAGCAAGGUUAAAAGGAACAGUUGGGGGUAUUCAUAUUCACUAGUUAGAGGUGAAAUUCUCGGAUUUAUGGAAGAU
rnacentral:rRNA from 1 species